rnacentral:rRNA from 1 species
UAUCCCUCGUACCUUUUGCAUCAUGAUUUAGCCAGUACCCCCCUAGCGAAGAGAACUUUAGUUAGAGCCCCCGAAACCAAGUGAGCUACUCCAAGGCAGCCUAAUAAUAGGGCCAACCCGUCUCUGUAGCAAAAGAGUGGGAAGAACUUUGAGUAGAGGUGACAGACCUACCGAACUUGGUUAUAGCUGGUUGCCUGAGAAAUGAAUAGAAGUUCAGCCCCACAGGUCCCCUCUGAACUAUGGGAGUUAUUCAAAGGGGGUACAGCUCCUCUGAUAAAAGACACAACUUUCCCGGGAGGGUAAAGAUCAUAAUAUCUAAGGUAAAAUAUUUUGUAGGCUUAAAAGCAGCCAUCUAUAGUAAAAGCGUCCAAGCUUAAACUCACAAUACCGAUAAUAGUAUCUUAACCCCCCAGCAUUACCGGGCCGCCCCAUACCACUAUGGGAGUGAUCCUGCUAAUAUGAGUAAUAAGAGAACACUCUCUCCCAGCACAUGUGUAAAUCGGAACGAACCCACACCGAACCUUAACGGCCCCAAACAUAGAGGGUAAUGAGCAAAAACCAGAAAUUCACCCACCGUUAACCCCACACUGGUGUGCCAACAGGGAAAGAUUAAAAGAAAGAGAAGGAACUCGGCAAACAAGCCUCGCCUGUUUACCAAAAACAUCGCCUCUUGCA